UACGUAGGGACCAAGCGUUGUUCGGAUUUACUGGGCGUAAAGGGCGCGUAGGCGGCGCGGUAAGUCACUUGUGAAAUCUCUGAGCUUAACUCAGAACGGCCAAGUGAUACUGCAGUGCUAGAGUGCGGAAGGGGCAACUGGAAUUCUUGGUGUAGCGGUGAAAUGCGUAGAUAUCAAGAGGAACACCUGCGGCGAAGGCGGGUUGCUGGGCCGACACUGACGCUGAGGCGCGAAAGCUAGGGGAGCGAACGGG
rnacentral:rRNA from 1 species